rnacentral:ribozyme from 13 species
AAGAGAAGGAAGAAAAAGAAGAGAAAGAAGUAGAAGAAGAAGAAGAGAGAGAAAAAGUGUCGGUAUCAUCACCUUCUUCAUCUUCUAAUUCUUCUUCCACCGCUCUCGCUUUUGUCGCAUACGUAGAAGAAAAAGAAGCCGUAGAAGAAGAAGAAAAAGA